rnacentral:rRNA from 1 species
AUUGAACGCUGGCGGCAGGCCUAACACAUGCAAGUCGAACGAGUGGCGGACGGGUGAGUAAUGUCUGGGAAACUGCCUGAUGGAGGGGGAUAACUACUGGAAACGGUAGCUAAUACCGCAUACCAUCGGAUGUUCCCCGAUGGGAUUAGCUAUUUGGUGGGGUAACGGCUCACCUAGGCGACGAUCCCUAGCUGGUCUGAGAGGAUGACCAGCCACACGGGAACUUAGACACGGUCCAGUCUCCUACGGGAGGCAGCAGUGGGCAAUAUUGCACAAUGGGCGCAAGCCUGAUGCAGCCAUGCCGCUUGUAUGAAGAAGGCCUUCGUGUUGUAAAGUACUUUCAGCGGGGAGGCGUUACCCGCAGAAGAAGCACCGGCUAACUCCGUGCCAGCAGCCGCGGUAAUAC